AGUAUCAUCCAAAGUUCCUAACAGAAAUGCCUAAUAACAUGGCAACCGCAAUAAAAAAUAACCAAAUUGCUAAAAAGGAUAAUUAGGGCAUCAAGAGGCAAUGCACUUUUAACUGCACAUAGACAACCUUGCAGAGAAUCCUAUAAGGAAAAUUAUAGACAGGUAUCUCCACUUUACCAUCUUUGUUCGUGUAUGCUUCAACCUACACCACAAUUCAAAAAGUAACUCACGGUUUCGUGAAUGACUUUGCAUCCAUGUAAAAGCAAACACUGCACAUUCCCGCAAAGUAAAAUCAACCAGCAUUUAUUUGUAUUGCAUUUUACAUGAGCGUGGUCAUUAUGAUACAGUGAUUGUCUUUUAGAUCAUUACUUCAAAUUUGGAAGGACUAACAACUAACAGCGGUCGACAACUCCCCUUUUAUUGCCCUUCUUGUCGAAGUUUUUUAUUGUGUUGCAUGCGACAAAAUUCAGUAACUACAUUUCCACAUUACAUUAAAAGCCGGGAAAGAUUGUGUGAUUUUCACUAAAUGAACUGAGAUUACAGUAAUACACUAUAAUGUAAAAAAGAGACAGAGCAGUGAGAACCCCUUUGAGGUUACAAGUGAGAAUGAAUAAUUGAUUCAGAUAACUUGAAACAGGAAACCAUUAAAAGGCCUAUAAACAAAAUCAAAAUCAAAAGAACCAGAUAAUUUUUAAGGUAGAGAAUUCACUCAAUGCACUUCUUAACCACAGAUAGAGAAGAAUACUUCUUCAUUUGAGAUAAUCAUUACACAUAACGUUACGAAGACAAUCCUUCACAACUAAAAAAAAGCAAUAACAACUUAUAAUAUAAUGAAAAUAAUGAUUUGCAAAAUGAAAAAACUGAACCCACUCAAAUUUCGUAUGAAGACCAAGAAUAGAGCAAAGAAUAUAAGUACACAUUGGACUUACCCUAUUUGAUAGCUUAUUUAACCAAACAGGUUUCAACCUUUUUCCACAAAUUAUCAAGACUUGCUCCAACACAGCCCACUUGGAGUGAAUGAAGAUGGAGGAAGGGUACAAACAAAAUCCUG
rnacentral:lncRNA from 1 species